rnacentral:lncRNA from 1 species
CUUAAUUUUGUAUUAGUUAGCAAAUACUGACCCCUACUAUGUGCAAUGGCAUUCUGCCAAAGCAUGAUUCACUUCUGAAUCCAUAUGAAUUUAGAAGUGAAGGCAUUCUUAAAAUUCCUCCAAAAUAUAAAGAUGCUUCUCAGUUAACACUGUCCUGAAAAGCAUCCACUACAUAUACGGUUUUAAGAAAUAAAAUUGAGAUUCAUAGUCAUUUGGGAAAGUAAACUGGUUGUCAACUAUCACAUCACAAUGUCUGUAUUUUAAUACUGUUGGUUGCAAGACUUACCUUUAAAUAGAUAAUCAUGAAAAAAUUAAGCAACAUUCCCAUCUCAUUUUCUUUUGAAUGUAAUGAUUGAAUGAAAAGGGCAUAACUGAUGUGAAAGUGAGAAAGCUAAAUGUAUGAAUUUAUUUUAAUUAAAUUAAUAUCGAUCGACAGCACAGAGGAGUGGAUGGAGGACAAUAACUAAGAUAACAUGACUGCUGCUUUUGUUUUGUGAUGUAGGCCCACGGGAAGUCAGAAGCAGCUGAGAUCUGGGGACCUCAACAAAGUGCAGGCUCCGGUACCACAAAUCAAGUUUUAGAAGUAUGGGGGUUUUCAAUAGCAUGUUGCUACUGCUUGCUGAGUUCACAUGACUGUUGCUAGAUUGUGAGAGAGUAGUUUUAGCAGAGAGU